rnacentral:lncRNA from 1 species
ACUUUUUGCUUACUGGAGUGACUCCCUGCAGAGCCCAAUGAAACCAGACCUAAGGUGGCCACAUACAUCUCUCCUGAUGGUGACCCUCAUCUGCUCAGCAAACAUUCACUCAUUCCUGUUUCACCAAAGCUGAAGCUGAAGCCAGCAAGUCCUUUCCCACAGAGCAGUGCUGGCUGAGGUUUGCUCCUGAUACAGAGGUCAGUUCCCCAUCAU